UGAAUCCAUUCAGCAUUAGUCAACUUGGGACUUGAGGGUAUGUUUUUUUUCCUUUUUCUUCUUGAAAUUUUUUUCCUGAUUUUUGAUUUUUUUCGUUUUUCACCCUCUUAUCUUUUUUCAUUUUUUUUUGAUUUGAUUUUUUUUUAUUACAUUUGUAAUGCCCCAGUUUGACUGUUUUGCUGAUUCUCAAGAUACAGCUGAAUGAGCUUCUUUCGUGCUCAAGGAGACGGGUAAUCUCAUCAGGAAUCUCUUCAACAUCA
rnacentral:lncRNA from 1 species